rnacentral:rRNA from 1 species
UACGGAGGGUGCAAGCGUUAAUCGGAAUUACUGGGCGUAAAGCGCACGCAGGCGGUCUGUCAAGUCGGAUGUGAAAUCCCCGGGCUCAACCUGGGAACUGCAUCCGAAACUGGCAGGCGAGAGUCUUGUAGAGGGGGGUAGAAUUCCAGGUGGAGCGGUGAAAUGCGUAGAGAGCUGGAGGAAUACCGGUGGCGAAGGCGGCCCCCUGGACAAAGACUGACGCUCAGGUGCGCAAGCGUGGGGAGCCAACAGGAUUAGAUACCCGCGUAGUCC